rnacentral:rRNA from 1 species
GACGAACGCUGGCGGCGUGCUUAACACAUGCAAGUCGAACGAUGAAGUUCCUUCGGGAAUGGAUUAGUGGCGAACGGGUGAGAAACACGUGAGAAACCUGCCUUUCAUUUUGGGAUAACUCCGGGAAACCGGAGCUAACACCGAAUACUCCGUCUCGGCGGCAUCGCUGAGCCGGGAAAAAAUUAUGAUGAAAGAUCGGUCUCGCGGCCUAUCAGCUAGUUGGUGAGGUAAUGGCUCACCAAGGCGACGACGGGUAGCCGGCCUGGGAGGGCGACCGGCAACCCUGGGACUGAGACACGGCCCAGACUCCUACGGGAGGCAGCAGUGGGGAAUAUUGGGCAAUGGGCGCAAGCCUGACCCAGCGACGCCGCGUGAGGGAUGAAGGCCUUCGGGUUGUAAACCUCUUUCAGUAGGGAAGAAGCGAAAGUGACGGUACCUAAAGAAGAAGCACCGGCUAACUAUGUGCCAGCCGCCGCCGUAA